AUACGGAGGGUGCAAGCGUUACUCGGAAUUACUGGGCGUAAAGGACGCGUAGGCGGUUUAGAAAGUCAGAUGUGAAAGCCUAUGGCUUAACCAUAGAACUGCAUCUGAAACUCCUAGACUAGAGUGAGGGAGAGGUCAGUGGAAUUAGUGGUGUAGGGGUAAAAUCCGUAGAGAUCACUAGGAAUACUCAUAGCGAAGGCGACUGACUGGAACUUUACUGACGCUGAGGCGUGAAAGCGUGGGGAGCAAACAGGAUUAGAAACCCUAGUAGUCC
rnacentral:rRNA from 1 species